rnacentral:lncRNA from 1 species
UACUUCUUGAGCUUGUGAACCCUGUUAGAGAAGAAAGGAACUGUAAGCUCCAUCUGAAAAGAUAAUUGUACGGUUUGAGAGUAUGAUGGAAGUGAAGCUACUAACCCAGUGCCCAAGUCAAGACCUUAUGAGAUUGACAGCAUUCACUUCUGUUCUCUUAAAACACACAUCCUUAGAACACAGCCCCCACGCUUGAGGAAGUCCAAGCAAUCAAAUGGACAGACUCAAGUGAAGAGGAACAAAGGCAUCUGGCUAACAGCCUUAGCGAAGUUUCCUGCUGACAGCAUCAACUUGCCAGGCAUGUACGUAAGCCAUAUGGGAGAACACCCAGCCCCAGUCGAGCUCCUCCAACUGAUGCCACAUGGAGCAGAAAUCAGCUGUCCAAACUGAAUCCUGCCCAAAUGGAAGAUUGAUAAACAAAAUUUAAAACUAAUCUUUAAGCCAAUAAGUUAUGGGUUUAUCUGUGUUACACUGCACUAUUUAACAGAACAAUAGGCAAAGGACUUGGACAAAUACUUAACAAAGGAAGAUAUACAAAUGGUAAAUAAGCACAUGAAAAUAUUAACAUCAUUAGUAAUCAGGGAAACGAAAAUUAAAGUCACAAAAGAUAUCAAAACACACCUAUUAGAUGGCUAAAAUGUAAAAGACUGACCCAUGUCAAGUGCUGGUUAGGAUGUAGAAGAACUGGAACUCUCAUACUUUACUGAAAGCAAUGUUAAAUAAAAAUAGUUAGGUUUUUUUAAAUAGAUUUAAACAUACCCUAUGACCCAGCAAGUUCACUCCUAAAUAUUUACUCUAGAUAAAUAAAAACACGUAUCCACCAAAAACUUGUACAAGAAUAUUCCCAGCAGCUUUUAUCAUGAUAGCCCAAACUGGAUACAACCCAAAUGUCUAUCAGUCAGAGAACAGAAAAGAAAAUGGUGUUAUAUUUAUAAAAUGAUAUAUAUAACUGGGUACAAGAAAAAGGAAUAAACUAUUGACAUAAGCAACAUCAAUGAACCUCAAAAAUAUGACAUUGAGGGAAGGAAGUCAAAUACAGAAAUGCCUACUUUUUCUGUCUAUUUGUAUGAUGUUCAAAACUAGGCAAAAUGAAUCUACUAAGUAGUAGAGCCAUGAUUCUGUCCCAAGCAGUCUUGUUUCUAGAGCCUGUGGUCUUAACCAUGAUGCUACAGGUGUAAAUCCAUAGAUAAAGAUUUUGAAGGUGAUAUAGAAAAGGAUUUAACUGGUUUAUGAAUGGUAAGAUUUUGGGAAAGAAGGAAUAAUGAAGAGGCAGUGCAAUUGAGAUGGAGGAAGAUAGGACUUUUAGUUGUUAUUCUUUAUAUAAUUGUAUUAUUUCAAAUUUUUUAAAUGGUCAUAUAUAACAUUUUAUAAUAUUUUUGAGUGUAAUUUACUUAGAGUAAAAUGCACAUGUUGUAAGUGUAUAUAUAUGGAUGAGUUUUGUAGCAAGCACACAGCCAUGUAACCAAUACCCAGAUCUAGAUACAGAGCCAUUCAAUUACCUUGAACAUCAAUCUCACCACUUCCCAGAGGCAAUCACUGUUCUGACUGGAUGCCAGGACAAAGUCCAACACUAUCAAAAGGAAUAUAACACAAUCCACACACAACAAUGUAAAAUCUCACAAUAUAUGACAUCAAAUAAAAACUUAUCAGGUAUGCAAAAAUGCAGAAAUAUAUGGCCCAUACCUAGAAAAGGCCAAUAAGUUGAAGUGAAACAGAAAUGACAGAAAUUCAGAAAUUAGAAACAAAUUUUAAAACAGCUAUCAUAACUAUCAUAAACACGCUUAAUAUGCUCAAGAAGGAGGGAAAAACAACACUAUGAGGAGCAGAAAGGAAUAUAUUUUAAAGAAGAGAGAGAGGUACCACAAUGGAACUGAUAGAGGUGAAAAUUAUGUGAUCUGAAACAAAAAAUAUACUGGACAGUUUUGUGGCCAAUUUGGAACUGCAGAAGAAGAGAUCAGUGAACUCAAAGACAUGCCAAUAGAAAAUAUCCAAAAUUAAGUACAGAGAAACAAAAAAGAUGGACGAAAACAAAAAUAAUAUCUAGUAUCUAUGGAACAAUAUCAAGGCUGUCUACCAUGUGAAAUUAGAGUCCCAGAAAGGAAGAGGGAAGAUAGAUGAAGAAAUAAUAAUAGCUAGAAGUUUAUCUAUAUUUAAUGAAAACUAUGUCAACAAAGCUCCAUGAAACCCAAGCAGAAUACAUAUAAAGACGUAUAUGCUAAAACGCAUCAUGAUCCCAUUGUUAAAAAUCAGAGAUAAACAAAUCUUAAAAGCAGCCAGAGAUAAAAGACAUACUACUUACAGAGUAAUAAAGACAAGCAUGACAGCAGACUUCUUAUGAGAAAAUAUGCCGACCAAAAGAAAAUGGAUGAAUAUCUUAAAAGUGCUGACAGAAAGAACCGUCAUCAUAGGAUUCCCAGGAAAUAUAUCUCUUAAAAAUGAAGGCAAAAUAGAGAGUGAAUUAGAAAUAGAGAAAAUAUUUUUAUACAAAUAAAAGCUGAUAGGAUCCAUAAACUACAGACCUAUAUUAUAAGAAAUAUUAGAGAAAAUUCUUCACAUUCUAAUUAAAAAAGCAGAUUGUCAUAUUGGGUUUUAAAAAGCAAGACAUACCUAUUUUUGUCUACAAGAAAUAUACAAUAUGUAUAAAUAUAUAGAUAAAACGAAGAGGAUGAAAAAAGUACCAUGCAGAAGCUAAUCAAAAGAAAUCUGGAAUGGCUGUAAUUCAUAUCACACAAAGUAGGCCUCAGAACACAUAUUAUUAUGUAGGCUAAAGGGAGACAUUUUAUAACAAGAAAGAACUCAGUUCAUCAUGAGUGCAUAACAGUUCCAAAUGUACAUGCACCUAAUAAUACCUAACAAUGUCAAAACAAAUAAAAUAAAAAAUGACAGAACCAAAAGGAGAAACAGACAAAUUCACAGUGAUAGUUAGAAAUUUCAGCAUCCUUUUCUCAGAUAUACAAGCAUACAGAAAAACAUAGAAGAUAAAUGGAACCACUAACCACUGUCUUAACUGACAGCUAUGGAAUACUCCAUCCAGCAAUAGCAGAACACAAAUUCUUUUCAAAUGCAGACACAACAUUCACAAAGAAAGAUCAUAUCUGGGUCAAAAAAUAAGGCUCAAUAAAUUUAAAGGACUUUAAAUCAUACAAAGCAUGUUUUCUGAUCAUAACAAAAUUAAA